UACCAUGCAAGUCGAACGGUAACAUUUCUAGCUUGCUAGAAGAUGACGAGUGGCGGACGGGUGNAGAUAAUGCUUGGGAACUUGCCUUUGCGAGGGGGACAACAGUUGGAAACGACUGCUAAUACCGCAUAACGUCUUCGGACCAAACGGGGCUUUUAGCUCUGGCGCAAAGAGAGGCCCAAGUGAGAUUAGCUAGUUGGUGAGGUAAAGGCUUACCAAGGCGACGAUCUCUAGCUGUUCUGAGAGGAAGAUCAGCCACACUGGGACUGAGACACGGCCCAGACUCCUACGGGAGGCAGCAGUGGGGAAUAUUGCACAAUGGGGGAAACCCUGAUGCAGCCAUGCCGCGUGUGUGAAGAAGGCCUUCGGGUUGUAAAGCACUUUCAGUUGUGAGGAAGGGGUGUUGGUUAAUACCCAACAUCAUUGACGUUAGCAACAGAAGAAGCACCGGCUAACUCCGUGCCAGCAGCCGCGGUAAUACGGAGGGUGCGAGCGUUAAUCGGAAUUAC
rnacentral:rRNA from 1 species